rnacentral:rRNA from 1 species
AGUGAACGCUGGCGGUAGGCCUAACACAUGCAAGUCGAACGGCAGCACAGGAGAGCUUGCUCUCUGGGUGGCGAGUGGCGGACGGGUGAGGAAUACAUCGGAAUCUACUUUUUCGUGGGGGAUAACGUAGGGAAACUUACGCUAAUACCGCAUACGACCUACGGGUGAAAGCAGGGGACCUUCGGGCCUUGCGCGAUUGAAUGAGCCGAUGUCGGAUUAGCUAGUUGGCGGGGUAAAGGCCCACCAAGGCGACGAUCCGUAGCUGGUCUGAGAGGAUGAUCAGCCAAACUGGAACUGAGAACCGGUCCAGACUCCUACGGGAGGCAGCAGUGGGGAAUAUUGGACAAUGGGCGCAAGCCUGAUCCAGCCAUACCGCGUGGGUGAAGAAGGCCUUCGGGUUGUAAAGCCCUUUUGUUGGGAAAGAAAUCCAGCUGGCUAAUACCCGGUUGGGAUGACGGUACCCAAAGUAUAAGCACCGGCUAACUUCGUGCCAGCAGCCGCCGUAA